GACGAACGCUGGCGGCGUGCUUAACACAUGCAAGUCGAACGGAAAGGCCCUGCUUUUGUGGGGUGCUCGAGUGGCGAACGGGUGAGUAACACGUGAGUAACCUGCCCUUGACUUUGGGAUAACUUCAGGAAACUGGGGCUAAUACCGGAUAGGAGCUCCUGCUGCAUGGGGGGGGUUGGAAAGUUUCGGCGGUUGGGGAUGGACUCGCGGCUUAUCAGCUUGUUGGUGGGGUAGUGGCUUACCAAGGCUUUGACGGGUAGCCGGCCUGAGAGGGUGACCGGCCACAGUGGGACGGAGAUCCGGCCCAGACUCCUACGGGAGGCAGCAGUGAGUAAUAUUGCACAAUGGGCGGAAGCCUGAUGCAGCAACGCCGCGUGCGGGAUGACGGCCUUCGGGUUGUAAACCGCUUUCGCCUGUGACGAAGCGUGAGUGACGGUAAUGGGUAAAGAAGCACCGGCUAACUACG
rnacentral:rRNA from 1 species